CUAGGAAGCAGGAACAAAACAACAUCGAAUGAAUCAACUCCGUUGUAGAACUAAAAGAAAACUGAAUCGCGCAGGAAGGGAUUAGAUUUCUAAUGAAACCUUCUCGUUUGUUUCCUUAAUUAAUCCUUUUUCAUUUCUUCAAAACCUAAACCACAAUGUUGUUUUCAACUUUGAGGCAUUUUCGUUUCUCCAAUUUUCCUCUUUUUCAACUUUCAAACCCUAAAUUCAUUCCUUGCUUCCAUUCUUCAUCAAUGCUAAUGCUAUACUCUCAAUUACAUCACCAACAAGAAGACCAACAUAAUCAUCUUGUUUCUUCAUUCAAUCAAUUACUACAUCAGAAUCCAACUCCACCCAUCUUCCAUUUUGGUAAGAUUUUAGGUUCUCUUGUUAAGUCCAAUCAUUACUACACUGUUGUUUCACUUCAUCGUCAGAUGGAACUAAAUGGAAUUGCUUCAAAUUUAGUCACUUUCAACAUCUUGAUCAAUUGUUUUUCUCAAUUGGGUCUAAACUCUCUUUCCUUUUCUGUAUUUGCCAACAUUCUCAAAAAGGGUUAUGACCCAGAUGCCAUAACUUUGACUACACUCAUCAAGGGUCUUUGUCUCAAAGGUCAGAUCCAUAAAGCAUUGAACUUUCAUGACAACGUGGUAGCACAGGGAUUUCAGUUGAACCAAGUUAGUUACGGGACCUUAAUCAAUGGGUUAUGUAAAGUAGGAGAAACAAGUGCAGCCUUGCAGUUGCUGAGACGAGUUGAUGGGAAACUGGUUCGACCUAAUGUGGUAAUGUACACUGCAAUUAUUGACAGUAUGUGCAAAGAUAAACUUGUUGAUGAUGCUUUUGAUUUAUAUUCUGAAAUGGUCGCUAAGACAAUUUAUCCCAAUGUUGUCACUUAUAGUACUUUAAUUAGUGGCUUUUGCAUUGUCGGUAAAUUGAAAGAAGCAAUUGGGCUUUUUAAUAAAAUGGUUUUGGAGAACAUCACCCCGAAUGCGUAUACGUUUAAUAUAUUGGUUGAUGCAUUUUGUAAGGAAGGAAAAGUGAAAGAAGCUAAUAAUGUGUUUGCUAUGAUGAUCAGAAAAGGUGUUAAACCUGAUGUUAUUACCUAUAGCUCGUUAAUGGAUGGAUAUUGCUUAGUUAAAGAAAUGAACAAGGCCAACCGUACAUUCAACACCAUGGCACAAUGUGGAGUGACUCCAAAUGUUCAGAGCUAUAAUAUUAUGAUUAAUGGAUUUUGUAAAGUUAAAAUGGUGGAUGAAGCCUUAAAUCUCUUCAAAGAAAUGCGUUGUAGAAACAUUAUUCCUAAUGUGGUAACUUACAAUUCCCUUAUUGAUGGUUUGGGCAAAUCAGGGAGAAUCUCUCAUGCUUUGAAGCUUGUUGAUGAGAUGCAUGAUAGAGGUCAACCACCUAAUAUAGUUACCUACAAUUCUAUAUUUGAUGCUUUAUGCAAAACCCAUCAUGUUGAAAAGGCGAUUGCAUUAUUAACAAAAGUUAAGGACGAGGGCAUUCAACCAAAUAUGAACACAUAUACUAUUCUUAUUCACGGAUUGUGUAAAGUUGGAAGAGUAGAGGACGCGAGAAAUGUUUUUGUAGAUCUUUCAGUCAAAGGCUACAAUCUAAGUGUUUAUACAUAUACUGUUAUGAUCCAAGGGUUUUGCAUCAAGGGCUUGUUUGAUGAAGCGUUGGCCUUGCUAUCAAAAAUGAAAGACAAUAGUUGCCUUCCAGACGCUGCAACUUAUGAAAUAAUUAUCCGUUCUCUGUUUAAUAAAGGUGAACAUGAUAUGGCAGAGAAACUUCUACGUGAAAUUAUCGCAAAAGGUCUAUUGUAAGAUUGAAACUAGGUAAUAUGUUUUGUCUACUGUACAUUAUUAUUUUCAAUUUAUCUUUUAACAAUAUUGUUUCGUCAUUUCAUUUAUGUAGUUACUUCACCUAAUGGAAAAAGUGCUUGUGUUAUUUCUUUUGGUUAAGUUUGUUUAUACUUCCCAACUAAUAGACAUUCCAACUUGAGGAGAAUUGGUAGGAUAUGAAACAUAGUUUUUUUUCUGCAUUAUUAUGCUGCAACAUAUGCUUAAGGGUCUGUUUGAUUAGGGGGUUUUUGAAGGGAGUGCAUAGAAUAUUUUUUAAAUGAACUUAUAUGGACAAAUUUGCUUUAUUUUUUUUUUUAAAAAUCCUAAAUUAUCCUUGUUGGAAUACAAUUAAAAGUUUAAAUUUUCUCUCUUCAACCAAAUAUGUCUGUCUCUGUGUCCGUGUCGGUGUCCCCAUCAACAGAAGCUGGAACAGGAACCUUGUCCUAGAUAUUUUCUCCUCUUUUGAAGCACAACAAAUUCUCAAUAUUCCCUUAUCUCGGAGGCUCCCGAAUGAUAAAAGAAUAUGGCACUGGGAAGGAGAUGGCAAUUUUUCAGUUAGAUCAGCACAUCACAUGAUUAAUUAAAGAGGCCGAAUCAGCAAGGACGCCUGAAACUUCUCCAUCUAAAAAUGUAUUCACCGUAUAGUAGAUCCCCAUCGCUUCUUCAAAGUCGCUGAUUCCAUCACCAGUCCGUUUUCAUCGCAAAGGAUUGAGCCAUCUUCCGUCGUGUUGCUGCUGCAGGUUGGCAUCGGUGUUGGCCUUGAUAUAAUUCCUGCGAACCCUAGACGGCUAGACCAAUCCAGCAAGUUGCACCGCCCUUUCCUCUCCUCGCCAGAAUCAUCGCCCACCGUCGACGCGUUAUCUGUUGUUUCUGAAAACCCUAAAGUGCAUAAAAAACCAGAAAUAAUGUCGUACGAUGACGUGGAGAUUGAAGACAUGGAGUGGAAUGAGGAGUUGCAGUCAUACACGUAUCCAUGUCCAUGUGGGGACUUGUUCCAGAUCACGAAGGGAGAUCUCAAGCUUGGUGUGGAGAUCGCUUGUUGCCCUAGUUGUUCUCUCUAUAUCACCGUCAUCUACAACAUGGAAGAUUUUCUUGGCGAUUCUGAUCAACACAAGGGUAUUCAGCCGUCCAAGCAACAACCUGUUACCGUUGCUUGAAUUUCAGGUCUUUCACAAUUUCUUAUCAAUAUUUUCAAUGAUUUCCUCUUAGUUGCAGCGUUCAUUGAUUUAAAUUUUGUAUACAUUGAUUUUUAAUUUGUUUUGAUAUGAAUAGAGACAAUCAGUAAAAAGUGCACUUUCAUCUUUUUUUUUUGUUUUUUUUUGUUUUUUUUAUUUCUUAUUUUUAUAUUUACCGCGUUAUUGGUACUAACUUUGUGUCUAAUCUCUGCGAGGGAACUUGUGGGCACACAAGGUGGGUUCUUCCCUCCAACUGAGUUUUCUCCAUACGCAAGAGUCAGGGAUCCACUCGUCACCAUUUGCUCAAGUGGCUCAAGACCCUUACCUCUGACCAAUUCAUUGUUGGGGGCUUCCUAUCAGUGUAAUUAGUUAAGGAGAGAAUAAUAAACCUGAGAGGUAAUGCAAUUUGUAACCUCCCAACUUAGGUAAAUCCUCUGUAUGGCCCAAGUCUAAUCUAAUGAGAAGAUGAGCUUUCUUUUCCUCAUCAUUUAUCUGCUAUGUAACCUUUAAUUUGAGGACUAUCCUCCUCCAACCAAUGACCGCCCUUUCUUUUGGCCAAGAUUUGAGGAUCAAACUGUAGAGGGCUCACUACUAAAAGUCAACCCACAUUUUAGCACACAAGUCAAAUUAGGAGGAUCUAACUUUAGACAAUCAAGGAGUAACACAUGUAAUCGGAACAUUAUUACUAUUUUGAGAUCCAAUUGAUGAAAUUCUCUCUUGUUUCCCGACAUCCCGUUCUCUAUUGGGCAUAUAUGGGACCCCAAAAUUCUAAGGAGGUUAAAGAGGAAAUUUUGAAUCAGAAAAGAAGCAAGGAAUAAAGGUGUAGACAAAUUCCUGAACUAGGCAGUAGGCACAAUGGUCAUUUAGUAACCUUAACUAGACAGAAGAAUUAUAGAAUUUUAAAUUUAUUACAUAUAUUUUGUUAGAAGGGUCUGAUAUACCUUUUGAACAAGAAGGUUGUUUUUAUUUUGUUAGAAAUUGGUUCUUCCAUCAUAUAGGUUCUUCUAGGCCAAAUUCAAUUUACUUGAUCACAUUAAUAUCAAACUCUCUUUGUUUUUAUGUGCAUAAAACUUCAUUUGCAGCCAUCUUGCUCUAUUUGUUAACAAUGAUAGAGCAAUCAAUAGCAGUGAUGAUAUUUGAUGAGAGGUAUGCAUUUAGCCAAUGCCUUUUUCUAAAUAUGACGUGUAUUGCACCAAACUCAAUAAAAAUUAGCUUUUGUUAA